rnacentral:lncRNA from 10 species
UCUUUUUGGAGAGCUCCCUUUUGCCCUACCCUUUUGAUUGCGCUCUGUCUCUCUCCCCCAUCUCUCCACCUCCUCUCUCCUUUCUCCCUCCCUCUCUCCCUCUCUCUCUUUCCUUUUUUCUUUCUUUCUUUCUUUUCUCUCUCUCUCUCCCUCCUUUCUUUCUUUCUUUCUUUCUUUCUUUCUUUCUUUCUUUCUUUCUUUCUUUCUUUCCAUUCUUUCCAUUCUUUCUUUUCUUCCUUCCUUUCCUUUUGUGGAAAAAGUAGCCGUUCUUUAUAAGAAUAAAAUCACAUCCUUUGCCUUUUCACUUUCUCCCUCCAUCUUCCUCCCUCUCUCUUGUACCCUCAGAUCGCCACGCUUUGGACCUCCCACGAAUGGUUUGAACCUGAGGCAUGAAUUGAGCUUGACUCCCUUGAGGGAGAGUUGCGAGAGGAAAAGAAAACCAACAGUCAGAAAUGCUGGGACUUACCUACUACCAACAAAAUUUCCUUAAACCAUCAUAUCAUCAAGUUGUCAUCAUUUAAUCAUGACAUCAUGUUGAAAAUGCCAUCUAAAAGUCAAGAGAUGAAAAAGCUGGAUGGAAGGAAGGUCGGAUAGAUAAACUGGACACUGAAGCAGAAGCUAGAAGAUGCCAUCAGAGACCCAGUAGCCAGAUGUAGCUGCUGAUUACGAAAGACAGGAUCUACACUGGCUACUGAGCCAUUGAGGGUACCUACACCUUCCAGCAGCUGGGUGAUCCUUUGCCUUCUGGGGAGGGGCUCUGUGGAAGAAAAAAGAAGAUAUCAGAUUUCAAUUGCACAUUUUCUUUGGAUCAUGAAUUGACAUUUUGACAAUAUUCCCAUGUACGUAAUUUUAAACAACCUCUGGAUUUAUUUACUUAUCCAACAGAUACUGACUGAGUGACAUUAAAUAAAGUGCCACAUAUUUUCUUAGGUGCUGGAGAUCCAGCAGCAAACAAAAAAAGUGGAAAAUCUCUAUACUUCUACAGCAUACAUGAUUCCUUGUGACAAAAUCUACAAUCAAUUAUUUGGUAUGUUUUGCAGUAAAAUGGAAAUAUACACAAGAGAAAAACAAACAAGCAAACAAAAAACCAAUCUACCAUUUUAUUGUGGCUUGGAGCAUUUUUGUUGCUUCCUGUCACUUUAACUUGGGUAAUCUAGCAAUGAUGCACAUAUGUAAAGUAAAUUGCAGUUAAAAAAUUCUUUCGUGUUACGAACUGAGGAUAAUACAGUUAUUUUACCAAAUAUCUCAAACACCAAAGAAAAUUACAGAAAAUGCAUAUUAUAAUAAAUAUUCAAAGCAGGUGCUCACUAGCAUGUCAGUUCCAAGCUUUCCUCCCAUGAUACAAUGAAGGUAACAAAAUAAGUCACAGGAUUGGUGUUCUCUUUGCUAUUCAUUUAUCCACCCCAGAAAUACUUACUGAGUACCUUCAAUAAGUACCUUUCAGUACCUUACUGAAAUACUUCUGCGUGCUUUAUUCCAGGCACUGGGAAUGCAACACUGAACAAAAUCCUUGCACUCACGGAAGUUUAAGUCUAAGAUUUAAGGAAAGGGUAGAAAAAGACUGAAAAAAACCUCCAUAGAUAUGGACGGUCAUUUCAUAGAGUAAUGAAACAGUUAAGAGGAAUGCUAUUUUCGAUAAGGUGGCUAGGAAAAGCCUCACUGAGGGCCUGGCAUUUGAGUGGAUUCCUGAAGUAGGAGGAGAAGAAUCAUGUACAUACCUGGGGUGGGAAAGGACACCACAGGGAGAGGCAAGAGUCAGAACAAAAAGCACUGAAACAGGAAAAAGCCUGGUAUCUUGGACAAGGUGUUCUUUUAUUAGCACAUGACCACAUGGCCAAUUAUUGUUUCCUACUUUUAGGAUUAUUCUAGAAGGUAAAUGACUAUGCAACUUUUCUCCAAGUACACGUCUUAGAAUCCUUUGCUGUGAAUUUAAAAUGCUUCAGCUAUCACUUAGAAAAGAUUUAAUAAAGCUACUGUCAAUUGGAAACUAGUACCAUUUGAUCGGACAUGCAGCUAUACCACAGUAUGACACACACAUAUUUAUCACCAAGAGAAAAGUGGCUUUUUAAAAAUGUGUUAGCUAUAAGAAAAGAUAACCAGCUUUCUGGGAGCUCUAAAUAUAUACAUAUCUAGGGAAUGAUUUAACUAUUUAAUCACAGAUGUCUAAUUUUAAGAGGCAACUCACUUGCCAAAUUAUAGUAAUAGUGCUUCACCAGUGUGGUUAGCUCUUGGUGGGGGAGGAUAAGGGUGGAAUUUACAAGGUGAAGCAGGGGUUUUUUUGAUUGCUUGCUUUUUUUUCUCUUUAAAUAAGUUAAGGCCAAUCCCAUCUAUGAAGUAUAUUUUGGCACUGCCUACAAACCAGAGCAUACAUACUGAAGUGGGGGAAAAGACCGUUUAUAUAGGUUUGGCUAAGUCUUACCCUCAAUGUAAAAUAAAGCAUUUGUAGAACACACAAACUUACAUUUCAUAAACCACUAAAACUAACUGUUCAUAACUCUACUUUUAUGAAUAAGACUAACAAUUAAAGUGAGGCAAGGGUUUAGUGUGGUCACUUUCAAUGCCAAAAUACAAAAGAUUAUCUUUUAUAAAUCUUUACAUUUAGAUGAGAAAAGGUAAAUUUUUAAUUCUCAAAGGUAUCUAUUCUCCACAUCUUAGUACUAAAGUUAAGGUGGUCUUUUGCCCCUUGUUUUAAAUUUAAUCUAGGUAAUACAAAUAGGAAAAUCUGUAAAUAAAAUUUUAUUAAAGGUUAUUCUGUAAAUUAGUGUCAACCACUAAACAAUACUAUACAGUUUUAAGUUUAUUAAAAACACAAAGAAUAGAAUAUGUAGAAUAUAUAACACCAUAGAAUAUUAACCAAUAAUGCAUUUUCAGUUUAAAAAUAAAAGGAAAAGAAAAGAAAUAGGUUCAAACUAGAAAUGUUGAGUUAUAUAAUUCUGUUAUCUAACAAUUAAGAUGACAACUAAGCCCCAAGGGUGAGUGAUAGGACUGUAACCAAGGUACUUCUGCUCAAGUCCUAGUCACACUGCAAACAAACAAAACAAAAAUAAUAAUAAACAAAAACUCCCAUACAUUCUGGCUAAAGACCAUUUAUUUGAGGUAUGAGAAAGAGUUUAAAGGGAGGGAAAGACUAUUAAAAGUUAAGCCUGCCACCUGCUGUUGGAAGGCCUGCUUUGAACUGGGAUAAAGACCAUUUCUUGAAAUGUUAACCUAGAAUUUGAAGAGCUUACACUCCACACGGUUAGAACAGGGGCAACCUAUACACCAAACCAAGAAGUAAAGAAACCCAUUGAUGUUUAAAGCUACACUGAGAGAGAUAAAAGUCACAUUCGCAUCAAAGUUCUACUGGAAAUGAAAGAAAUGCUGCUUCGUGCGUCAUUCUACUGAAGGAAGAGUAGAAUUACUCUGUCUUUUAAACUGAUUACCUGGACAAUUCUAUUUUGCCCCCAAAAAGCAUCUCUGACUUUAGAAAUUAUCAUUUUUAGAAAGAAAUUUUGACCCUAGGGACUAUAUGUGGAAGUAAAUGAAGAGAGAUGAACGAUUUCACAGCAUUGCCAGAAUGCUAACUUUACCAAGUCAAAAUUGUCUAAUUCACUGUUUUUAACACAAAUGUGAAAGAAUCUAUGCUUCUUUGAGUAAAAGAACUUCCAGAUGCUUUCCAGUUCCAUGAUUUUCUAUAACCUCACAAAGUCUGGCCCCACAUGUCCCCCUAAACCCCAUCCAUGAUAUUUCACAUAUUUUUGUUCAUGCACCAGUAGUUUUCUGUAACUAAAUAGGAAUAGAGUCAAAUUCUAUCACAAUCAUGUUUAGGGAUUUGACAGAGCAUAAGCCAGUCCACUAUUCUAAUGAAGUCAGAGUUUACUUUAGAAGUGAACAAAAACUGCCACCCACAGUGUAUAUCUCAUGUUAAGUGAUUCUUAACAUAUACACAAACACAGACACAAAACCAAAGGGAUACAAUGAAACUUUGAGAGAUGUUGAAUACAUCCAUUACCUUGAUUAUGGUGAUGGUAUCACAGGUGUUUGCAUAUAUCCAAACUCAUGAAAUUUUCCACAUGAAAUAUGUGCAGUUCUUUAUCAAUUAUACUUCAAUAAAGCUGUUUUUUUUUUUAAAAAAAGCUGCCUCCCACACCGUUAAGAACAAAAAGUCCAAUUAACUCUAACUGUAGGCCAGGGAAGAAAUGCACCCAUGUAUACACAGUG